AAAUUGAGUAGCACAUAGCUAACUUUAUUCAAUAAUAACAACGGAAAUGUAGCAUAAGUAAACAAUGAAUCCCAUCAAUGCCCAUUGGCGAAAAUGCUGAGUGAAGACUCGCGAGCCUACUGUAUCUCACUAAUCAUCUAAAAAUCCUGCAACAUGAUAAGUUAUAGCCAUAAGGGUCAAUACAUUGAAUGUAUUGGCAAAUCACACAUAAUGUUAUAGCAAACCUACAUCGACAUGCAAGGUACGACAAACAAUACACUCAAGCUGGUAUGUAGAAGGAUGGCUCCACCUACCUCCACUAACUGAUCAAGGUUCACACACCACAACCAAUUACCCGCAGAAAAGAAUGACAAAGAUCUUCAAGAAGUCUCAAGUCGCUCAGUCGUGGUGCAUUCUCUAGGGACAAUAGAGCGUUCAGCCAUCAACGCAUUCACCUGAUUUAAGCCCCGAAAACCUCAAGUGCACUUUGAGGGAGUCCUGGACUAAGGGGUCCUCGGGCGCCCGACCUGUUAGACAUGGGCCGGACUAAUGGGCGGUAAAGAUACAAGACCGGAGACUCUCUCCCGUGUCCGGAUGGGACUCUCGGCAUGGAAGGCAAGCUUGGCGUCCCAAUAUAAAGAUUCCUUUCUCUGUAACCGACUUUGUACAACUCUAGUUCCCUCCGGUAUCUAUAUAAAUCGGAGGGCUUAGUCCGUAGAGGCAAGAAGAAUACUCAUAGUCAUAUAGGCUAGACUUCUAGGGUUUUAGCCAUUACGAUCUCGUGGUAGAUCUACUCUUGUAAUACCCAUAUUCAUCAAGAUCAAUCAAGCAGGAAGUAGGGUAUUACCUCCAUAGAGAGGGCCCGAACCUGGGUAAACAUCGUGUCCCCUGUCUCCUGUUACCAUCGACCUUAGACGGAUAGUUCGGGACCCCCUACCCGAGAUUUGCCGGUUUUGACACCGACAUUGGUGCUUUCAUUGAGAGUUCCACUAUGCCGUCGUCAAAAGGUUUGAUGGCUCCUUCGAUCAUCUACAACAAUGAUGUCCAAGGGGAAGUCUUCCUCCCCGGACAGAUCUUCGUAUUUGGCGGCUUCGCACUGCGGGCCAACUCGCUUGGCCAUCUGGAGCAGAACAAAAGCUACGCCCCUGGCCAUCAAGUCAGAUUUGGAAGCUUGAACUACGUCACGGAUAUCCGCAAAGACUUGAUCUUCGACGAAUUUGAGACCACGGCAGUCGCUCCCUGUCACCACAACGAACAUGACUUAAAUCUGUCGUCAGACCAUACCCAGGAGAUAGCACCUGUAAUUGCUCUGGCCUUAGAUCCGGAACUGGUCGCGCCAUCCGAGGACGGGAAGCUCAACCCCGCCACAGAAACCGCAAACUCAGCGGCGUUGGAGCCGCACAUAGACCUAACUUCGAGUGACAUCUGUGUCACCGGAACCAUGGACUCGUCUCCGGCUAUAGGUUCUGAACCAUGUGCGUCCGCAUACGUCGAGCUUGAUCAGUCAUCGAUCGUCGAAUUCAGCUCCGCGGACAUCAUUCGGCACUCGCCUUUAGGUGACGUGCUAAACUCAUUAAAAACUCUAUCCUUAGCGGGGGACUCACAGCCGAAUUAUAUCCGGUUCGAACUGGAGGCUGAUGACGGAGAAUUUCGCUUCCCACCUACCGCCCACUUCAUAGCCACUGUCGAGGACCUAACCAACAUGCUCAAUUAUGGCUCCGAAGACAUCGACGGUAUGGACGACGAUGCCAGAGAAGAGGAGGCCCAAAACCUGUCGUUUACAGGACGUUGGAUGGCCACUUCCUCGUAUGACGUAUGCAUGGUGGACACACCUAAAGAGAACAAUGGCGACAACAAGAAGGAUCCAGUCAAGGAUAAACCUCCUGAGAUACAGCCAAAACACCGACGUGAGCGGGACCGCUCUAAAUAACGUCGUGCAAAAUACAGCGAUACCGGCACGAGAGAAGAUAACACUCCGGACGGUGCCGAAGAAAAUGAAGAUCCCGUUGAGGCAACUUCCAAACAGGACGAACGGGAAGACAUGCAAGUUAGCCCUGAUGAACAGGCCAUACACGAAGGCUCGGAGGACAGUAAUUAUCUUCCGCUCUUCGAGGAUGAAGUGAGCCUCGGCAAUGACGUUUUUAUCGUGCCUGAGGAACCUCUCGAGCAGGAGCGCUUUAAGCGCCGGCUAAUAGCCACUGCAAGGAGCCUAAAAAAGAAGCAGCAGCAGCUUCAAGCUGAUCAAGAUCUGCUCAACGAUAGAUGGACUGAUGUCCUGGCAGCCGAGGAAUACGGCCUUAAUUGCCCAGCCAAAAUUUACUCGAAGCGCAAAUUACUACCUCAGUUCGAUGAUGAGGCGCUGGAGCUCGUACCAUCAUCGCACAAUGCGGCUGACCGACCACCAUGUGGCCAGGACAAAGCGGCAACCCAAGCCGAACACCAGCCGGCCCCACCUCACCGUAAAGGCACAGAUAAAACAGCUCGGGGACAUACAUAUGACCUGUGGCAGAACUUGGAUAGUAGAGCAGGUCAGACCAGAUCGAUCUACGAAUCACGGGGACAUGCCCCGACACGCGACAACGGCUACCUAGUCGGACGCAACAAUCAUACUCACGCCGGGCCGAGAACCGCAGACGGACUCCAUCUGAGCUACAUCAUGACAUGGCCCGACAUAGAGGCGGCGCACACCCUCUUUGCUUCACUGACGAGGUAAUGGAGCACGAAUUCCCAGAAGGGUUUAAACCCGUAAACAUCGAAUCGUAUGAUGGGACAAUAGACCCCGCGGUAUGGAUCGAGGAUUUUCUUCUUCACAUUCAUAUGGCCAGCGGCGAUGAUCUCCAUGCCAUCAAAUACCUCCCACUAAAACUCAAAGGACCAGAAAACUGGUUGAAUAGUCUGCCCUAAAACUCCAUCGGUGCCUGGGAGGACUUGGAAGAGGCCUUCCAUGACAACUUCCAAGGUACAUAUGUUCGACCUCCGGAUGCCGACGACUUAAGUCACAUAAUUCAACAGCCCAGAGAGUCAGCCAGGAAACUCUGGACUAGGUUCUUAACCAAAAAGAACCAGAUUGUUGACUGUCCGGACGCUGAGGCCCUGGCGGCCUUUAAACACAGCAUCCGAGAUGAAUGGCUCGCCCGACACCUCGACCAAGAAAAGUCGAAGUCCAUGGCAGCCCUUACAACACUUAUGACCCACUUUUGUGCGGGCGAAGAUAGAUGGCUAGCCUGUAGCAACAACAAUGCAAGUGAACCUGGCACUACGGAAGCCAGCAAUAGCAACGGCAAGCCCCGACGCAAUAGACACAAGUGUCGAAACAACGGUGAUAAUACCGACGACACGGUGGUCAACGCCGGAUUCAGCGGCUCCAAGUCCGACCAGCAGAAGAAGUUGUUCAAAAGGAACAGUUCGAGCCCAUCAAGCUUGGACCGCAUACUCGAUCACCCAUGCCAGAUACACGGCACCCCCGACAAACCAGCCAAUCUCACCAACAGAGACUGUUGGGUUUUUAAACAGGCCAGCAAGUUAAAUUCCGAGAACAAGGAAAAGGGGUCGCAAAGUGAGGACAAUGACAAGGAGCCCCAUCCACCGAACACAGGGGGACAGAAAAAGUCCCCCCCCCCAAGUAAAAAUGGUGAACAUGAUAUACGCUACCCACAUCCCCAAGAGGAAACGCAAGCGCGCGCUCAGGGACGUCUACGCGAUGGAGCCAGUCGCCCCAAAGUUCAACCCAUGGUCUUCCUGUCCGAUCACUUUUGAUCGCAGGGACCAUCCGACCAGUAUCCGACAUGGCAGUUCAGCCUCACUAGUCCUCAACCCAAUCAUUAAUGGAUUCCACCUCACGCGAGUCCUCAUGGAUGGUGGUAGCAGCCUGAACCUGCUCUGACAGGAUACAGCGUGCAAAAUGGGCAUUAAUCCCUCAAGAAUUAAGCCCACAAAGACUACCUUUAAAGGAGUCAUACCAGGUGUAGAGGCCCGCUGUACGGGCUCAAUCACCAUAGAGGUUGUCUUCGGAUCCCCAGACAACUUCCGAAGCGAAGAGCUGAUCUUCGAUAUCGUCCCCUUUUGCAGCGGCUAUCACACAUUGCUUGGACGAACCGCAUUUGCGUGCUUCAACGCGGUGCCACACUGCGCUUAUCUUAAGCUCAAGAUGCUCGGACACGCGGUGUCAUAACAGUCAAUGGAAACACGGAACGCUUCCUCCAUACCGAGGAGCACACCGCUGCGUUAGCAGUAGAAGUACAGAGCGGCCUUCUCAAACAGAACCUUAAUUCGUCGGUCGAGCUCCCGGACACUGUCAAACGAGUCUUGACUACUCUGCGGCAGGACAGCCCAGCUCGUCAAGAGCUCGAUUAGCAAUUUGGCCUCCGUCCCAGUCCCAACCAAGUGGCGGCAUUCGUACCGCGCGUACGUAAAUACGCACUCAAAAUACCAUGGGCAUAGACGGAGGCAUAACUAGCUUGUGACCCAUAAUACGGCUCGACCGCUUCGGGACACACAUACUUUCAUUUUUCCUUUUUUUUAUCCUUUUCAGGUUUCUUUUCCGCAGGCUUCUUCAGACGACCUGAUCAUCGGUCCUCUCGACAAGAUGGAUACACCAUGAUGGCAAGAAGCACUAGCGUACAAGGGAAUUUCUAGGUGGUCUCUUUAACGAUCACUCUACCUGUUUUCAGGACCGGCACGCAGCUCUCCCUUGGUGGUGGCAUGUUAAAUAGCCUGGUUGCUUAUUGCACCACUUGUACAAAUAUGCUUUGACGUAUUAAUCAAACUAUAAUGGAAACGGUUUGCGGCCCAACUUCUGUGGCACUAGCUUACUACCCCCUUUUUUCUUCUUUGGAAAUCUUCUCAAGUUGCAACCAUACACUUUGGUACGCUUUAAUCUGCCAGCGGCUCCAUUGCGACCCAUAACACGGCAACAAAGUCUGAACACUUUUUACAAUAUAGCCCGGCACCCCAAAUUUAGCAUUAUAUGCAUUAGCUCUGAAUCAUGUCUUUGGUCAAUAGUUGGGUUGCCCGGCUCCUGUGCUUACUACCUUACGUUCCGCUAUAUCGGCUAGGGUAGUAAAGAGAGAACUAUUGCGAUUGUGUCCUGGUUUAUCCGGAUGAGCACCUCAGUAGAGAAAGCCGAAAACUGACUGUCAUGAUGCUCUUCAGAGGUUUCAAAUCCUUAGCAAUUUUUUCCGCAUUAUGCGAUGAAUCGUCUCUUACCCGAUCAGGUGUUUACAGUACCCUAGUUCGGAUACUAGGGGCAGGGCCUAAAUUUUCAUUGUCAAACUCCUAUGGCUAAGUGAGGGUGAUAAAGCCACAUAGUCCGAUUGCUUGGUUCUUUGCGCUAAACACCUCCUUCAAGGACCAAACAAUUGGAUCAAGAGUGUUUAGAUUCCAUCCCGAACACCCCCGUACUAACUACAUGGGGGAUGAAGCCGAGGACUGGCCAACUCUCAAAUUUACAUAAACACGGUCGCACAGGAGGUAAAAUAUUAAACAAGCAUUAUAUUACAUAGCCAAACUUGUUUCAUAAUACAGGGCGAGACAAUAUGAAUGUAUUCAUUCAAAGAUUACAUCUUUCGUACAUUGCUCCGCCACUAUGCGGGAUCCCUCCAGGACAUCGCUAAAAUAUCGCUCGGGCGUGCGGUGCUCCUUGCCCGUGGGCGGUCCCUCGGUCGCGACCGUGACGGCAUUCAUCUUCGCCCAUUGCAUCUUGACACGGGCGAAGGCCAUCCGCGCACCUUCAAUGCAGACUGACCGCUUGAUGGCGUCAAGCGGAGGGCAGGCUUCGACUAGCCGCUUCACGAGACCGAAGUAGCUGCUGGGUAUGGCUUCAGCAGGCCACAUCUAGAUUAUUAAGUCCUUCAUGGCCAGUUCGACCACCCUAUGCAGUUCGACCAACUGUUUUAGCCGGUCACUAAAGGGCACCGGAUGUUCUGGUGCAAGGUAUUGCGGCCAGAACAACUUCUCCAUUGAGCUCCCUUCUUCGGCUCGGAAGAAUUCUGCAACGUCAGAAACACUGCGCGGCAGAUCCACAAACGCCCCUGGGGAACUCCAAAUCCGGGUUAUUAAGAGAUACCUCUUCUUCACAUACUUGCUUUGCAUACUAAAAGCCUUACCCGUCGCGAUUUUCUUGGCCUCCUAGAUCUCCUGGAGGGUGCCCUGGGCUUCAAUUCGGGCCUCUUCCGCGCUUUGGCGAGCCUCGGCGAGUUCGAUCUCUUGAGCCAAAACAUCGCGCUCCAAGGACUCGUAUUUCUUCACGGCAUCCUGGAGCUCUUGCUCGACCUCAUUAAGCCUGGCCUCGUGCUUCUCACGGGCGGCUUGUUCCUUGGCAGCUUUUUCCUCGGCCUCGACCAGCGCCUUUUGAAGGACCUCGACCUCGGUCGCCGCUCCUACAAAUAUCAUGGCACAACGGUCAAUACACAUCAUUCAUUCUUUUCGAAUAUAUAGCAAGUCACCAGAUACCUUGCUCGUCCUCCAGCUGCCUUUUUACAAGGCCGAGCUCUUGUUCGGCCCGCUCCAGACUCUGCUUUAGUCUGGAGACCUCAGCAGCAUGAGAGGUUGCGGCCAGCAACGACGCCUGCUUAUUCAUGUAAGACAUAUUUAGUUAGUUUCCUGCGAAAAUUACUUGAUCCUCCAUCCGGCUUUUCUUUCCGAACACCGGACAAUGUCUCAGGGGCUGUUGUCUAUACUACGACUCUCUCUUUUGCGUCGCUUACCUCAAAGCCUGUCAGCAGGCUGGCGCAGGCUUCGGUCAGUCUGCUCUUGAUGGACUGAACCGUCUCAACCACCGUACCCAUAGGGAUACGGUGUUCCUCCACAAUGGAAGCGCCUCUUAGCACUUCCAGCAGAUUAUUUGGUGCCUCUGGAUGGACAGAGGUCACCGGCGGAAUAGGCACACCUCCUCCCUUCGGAGGAGGCUGCUCGCUCGAUUUCGGAGCCGUGUAGGUCUCCGAGAUGGUAUCCGUCUGGGGGCCGAAUUGAAUACGGCCCCCAUGGCCAGUCUCCAUGGGGGUUUUCUCCCCUAUGUGUUCGGUGGCCGAGGAGUCACCCUUUGUCGCCACCCUGACGACCUCCUGAAACUCUCCCUGGCCUGGGAAGGUCCUUCGGGACAGCACCUCGGUGUUGCCCUUGUCCUUGGGAGAGUAAGCCGCUGGCGAUGACUCGCUGGCCAUCGCCUUUGAAUCCAGUGAACCCCCCGACGAGGAUUGCAGGGAGAUGUCACGGGCUGGACUGCAAUUGCAUAAUUCAACAUGUUAAAACUAUGAAGUAGAGAGGCCGGAUAUAUGGACGCAUCAGUUUUUUUUAAUACUCACGAUGCGGCCAGGGGCUUGUUUCGGGGGUGCGGCUUUGGGUUGUUGUCAACGUCCCAUGCAGAGUUAUCCGCGAGAGAGCCCUUCCCCCUCUUGGACGCCUCUGCCUCCAGAUUUGUGGAGGUCGUCCUCUUCUUCCCUCCCCCUCAGUGGGAGAGCUGCUUUCUUCCUCCUCCUCGUCGUCUUCGGUGGCGGAGGAGCGAGUAUCAUUGUCUUCGGACGACAUGUCUGAAGCUCCUUUGCGGCGGGGGCCAUUGCGGACCCCCUUGGCCUUCUUCUUGGCAUUCUUCUCCGGCGCCUAGUAGGGCGCUGGAACCAGCAUCUUCGUCAGAAGCGGAAUUGUUGGUUCCUCAGGCAGCGGAGCCGGACACCGAAUCCGCUCCGCCUUCUUUGUCCAGUCCUGGAAAAAUAAAUAGUGAGGUUUAGAUAUCUUCCCUGACUAAGCAAGUAAAGUAUGCGCCUUGAAACGUGAAAUACUUACCGCACUGGCGGGAUGGGCCAGGGUCUGCCCGCGGUCCUCGGUUGUCUCCGGCGGCAUCUCGUUGCCCUUGAAGAGCACCUUCCAGAUAUCUUUGUGCGUAGUUCCGAAGAACUAUUGCAAGGUCUGGUGCUCGGCCGGAUUGAACUCCCAUAAAUGGAAAGUCCGGCUCUAGCAUGGAAGGAUCCGGCGAACCAGCAUCAACUAGAUCACAUUGAUGAGCUUGAUGUUCUUAUCCAUCAUGCUCUGGAUGCGCGCUUGCAGCGCCGUCAGCUCGUCCGACGAAGUCCAAUUCAGGCCCUUCUUUAGCCAGGAGGUGAGCCGCAUUGGGGGGCCCGGAUUUGAAUUCGGGAGCCGCGGCCCAGGUGGCGUCGCGGGGCUCUGUGAUAUAGAACCAUAGUUUCUGCCACUCUUUGAUGGUCUCCACAAAAGUACCCUUGGGCCAUGUGACAUUGGGCAUCUUGCUCACCAUGGCACCUCUGCACUCCGCGUGUUGGCCAUCCACCACCUUCGGUUUCAUGUUGAAGAGCUUAAGCCACAGUCCGAAGUGGGGUGGAAUGCGGAGGAAGGCCUCGCACACGACGAUGAAUGCCGAGAUGAUGAGGAAGGAGUUUGGGGCUGGAUCAUGGAAAUCUAGCCCGUAAUAGAACAUGAGUCCGCGGACGAAAGGGUGGAGAGGAAAUCCUAACCCGCGGAUGAAAUGGGGGAUGAACACCACCCUCUCAUUAGGCUUCAGGGUGGGGAUGAUUUGCCUCUUGGCCGGAAGCCGGUGGCGAUUUCUUUCACCAGAUACCCGGCAUCCCGAAGCUUGGUGAUGUCCUUCUCCUUGACGGAGGAGGCCAUCCACUUGCCUUGCGCUCUAGAUCCGGACAUGGUCGAGUGCUUUUUCGAGGCAGAAAAGAUGAGGACUUGGGCGUUGAAUAUCGAGAAUGGGAGGGCAGAGAGAGAGAAGGCAUGGGUGAAAGAAAAGAAUCCUUAUCUCCUUAUAAAGGCAGUGAAUAUCAAGCGCCUCCCCACUCGCCUUAAAACUCGCCUAUUCCCAAGGGUUGUGCAAACGGCACAGUUGGAUUACCCACGCCCGUAUUGAUGUGAAUCCUGCAAUAAGGGGACACGAUCUCUGCUUUGACAGGACAUGCCAAUGAGAGAGACCGCAUCUCGAAGCGGCAUGCCGAAAAACAGUUCGAAAUAAUGACCGGGUGAUGACGUGGUAUCACAUCACCAAAAGUUGUCAGCGGGUUGGACUCAUGAAAUAUUAUACUCUCUGCGGUUGUGUGUGCAAUUUGUUUUGCAGAGCCAGACACGUUUGUUGCGUCCGAAGACUGUGUUGGAGUAUUCGGAGAAGGAACGUGCCUUGCAAUGCCGAAGACAAUCUGCGCGCCGGACACCUCGUCAUUGAAGCCUGGUUCAGGGGCUACUGAGGGAUUCCUGGACUAAGGGGUCCUCGGGCGUCCGACCUGUUAGACAUGGGCCGGACUGAUGGGCUGUAAAGAUACAAGACCGAAGACUCUCUCCCGUGUCCGGCUGGGACUCUCCUUGGUGUGGAAGGCAAGCUUGGCGUCCCAAUAUGAAGAUUCCUUUCUCUGUAACCGACUUUGUACAACCCUAGUCCCCUCCGGUGUCUAUAUAAACCGGAGGGCUUAGUCCGUAGAGGCAAGAAGAAUACUCAUAGUCAUACAAGCUAGACUUCUACGGUUUUAGCCAUUACGAUCUCGUGGUAGAUCUACUCUUGUAAUACUCAUAUUCAUCAAGAUCAAUCAAACAGGAAGUAGGGUAUUACCUCCAUAGAGAGGGCAAGAACCUGGGUAAACAUCGUGUCCCAUGUCUCCUGUUACCAUCGACCUUAGACGCACAGUACGGGCCCCCCUAUCCGAGAUCCGCCGGUUUUGACACUGACACGCUCAGCCAUGGCACAUUCUCUAGGGACAAUAGAGCGCUCAGGCAUUGACGCAUUCACCUGAGAAAAAGUCACGAGCCUACAUCUAUAAAGACUCGCCACUUCCAUGCAUCACUCAACACAUACCCACGUCUACCAUCGCAAGCUACUCACACCAUCAUACAACACAGUCAAUAGCAAAACAUGACAACACAGAAGAUAAUGAUCAACCAAACAUAUAUCAUUACACAACAACCACACAUGCAUAGCAAAAAUAUAGGAUGAGCAAAAUCAAAAGUGCAAACUUGCCUUGAAAGGUGCUAAAGUACUCUAACAAUUUAUUCCAAUCCACUUCACACUCCGGACAAUCUAUACGAUUAACGAAGGCAUCGAUAAAUAAACCGUACUCACAUAACGCCACAAUAAAGCCAACAUCAAGGAAAUCAAAUCAAAAACAUAAUUAACAGAAUAUAUCAGUAGGUAUAUCUUAUCUACAUGCUAGUAGGGUCACAACGCAAAAAGAAUCAACUAAUUUGGAUCUACGGUUUAAAAGAUAUGGCCUCCGGAAGGUUAAAUUCAAAUUUGAGCAAAUUCAAAUUUAAACAAUUAAAAAUGUGAAGUUUUGGUUCUAUAGUAUUCUCUUGGCCUCUACGAGUACACAGGAAAAAGAAUCGAUGAAUUUAGAGUUACGAAUCUCAACAUAUACCUAAAUGAAAAUUUCAUAUGAAAUCUGCCCAAAAAGAAUUGUGCGAAAACAGAUUUCUUGGAAGAACUGCCGCGGCUGCUGUGAUGUUGCCACGUGGCGAGGUACUACUGGCUAUUACCUGUCCGCCGGAAGCUCUAAACGACGGACGACCACAACUUAAGGAAUAACGGUUCGGCAGUAAAAAACAUGGGCGAUCUAAUAUCAGCGGUUGGAUGGAGAUCGGACGGACGACAGGGACUCACCGGAUAACAGAGGAACACAGCGCCGGAGUUGAGGAAGAAGACGAGCGGCGGCUCGGACUUCGCCGGUGGAGACGUCUAAGGUGCUCAGGUG
rnacentral:lncRNA from 1 species